CCUCCCCUUAGACGUCCACACGUCUCUUCACUUGGGACAUCCCACAUUGUUCCAUGCCCAAGGCUGAUUAGCCUCUUUUGUUCGUUGGUUUCCACCUACUGGUAGCAGCACAAAUAAAGAGAGAAGGUUAAAGAAGAGGAGAAGAAGAAGAUUAAGGAAAGAGAUCAAGUGUUGAUCGUGAUCCAAGCUUCGUUCAGAUUCAGUAGGC
rnacentral:lncRNA from 1 species